UGCAGUCGAACGGUGAAGCCAAGCUUGCUUGGUGGAUCAGUGGCGAACGGGUGAGUAACACGUGAGCAACCUGCCCUGGACUCUGGGAUAAGCGCUGGAAACGGCGUCUAAUACUGGAUAUGAGACGUGAUCGCAUGGUCGUGUUUGGAAAGAUUUUUCGGUCUGGGAUGGGCUCGCGGCCUAUCAGCUUGUUGGUGAGGUAAUGGCUCACCAAGGCGUCGACGGGUAGCCGGCCUGAGAGGGUGACCGGCCACACUGGGACUGAGACACGGCCCAGACUCCUACGGGAGGCAGCAGUGGGGAAUAUUGCACAAUGGGCGGAAGCCUGAUGCAGCAACGCCGCGUGAGGGAUGACGGCCUUCGGGUUGUAAACCUCUUUUAGCAGGGAAGAAGCGAAAGUGACGGUACCUGCAGAAAAAGCGCCGGCUAACUACGUGCCAGCAGCCGCGGUAAUACGUAGGGCGCAAGCGUUAUCCGGAAUUAUUGGGCGUAAAGAGCUCGUAGGCGGUUUGUCGCGUCUGCUGUGAAAUCCCGAGGCUCAACCUCGGGCCUGCAGUGGGUACGGGCAGACUAGAGUGCGGUAGGGGAGAUUGGAAUUCCUGGUGUAGCGGUGGAAUGCGCAGAUAUCAGGAGGAACACCGAUGGCGAAGGCAGAUCUCUGGGCCGUAACUGACGCUGAGGAGCGAAAGGGUGGGGAGCAAACAGGCUUAGAUACCCUGGUAGUCCACCCCGUAAACGUUGGGAACUAGUUGUGGGGACCAUUCCACGGUUUCCGUGACGCAGCUAACGCAUUAAGUUCCCCGCCUGGGGAGUACGGCCGCAAGGCUAAAACUCAAAGGAAUUGACGGGGACCCGCACAAGCGGCGGAGCAUGCGGAUUAAUUCGAUGCAACGCGAAGAACCUUACCAAGGCUUGACAUAUACGAGAACGGGCCAGAAAUGGUCAACUCUUUGGACACUCGUAAACAGGUGGUGCAUGGUUGUCGUCAGCUCGUGUCGUGAGAUGUUGGGUUAAGUCCCGCAACGAGCGCAACCCUCGUUCUAUGUUGCCAGCACGUAAUGGUGGGAACUCAUGGGAUACUGCCGGGGUCAACUCGGAGGAAGGUGGGGAUGACGUCAAAUCAUCAUGCCCCUUAUGUCUUGGGCUUCACGCAUGCUACAAUGGCCGGUACAAAGGGCUGCAAUACCGUAAGGUGGAGCGAAUCCCAAAAAGCCGGUCCCAGUUCGGAUUGAGGUCUGCAACUCGACCUCAUGAAGUCGGAGUCGCUAGUAAUCGCAGAUCAGCAACGCUGCGGUGAAUACGUUCCCGGGUCUUGUACACACCGCCCGUCAAGUCAUGAAAGUCGGUAACACCUGAAGCCGGUGGCCCAACCCUUGUGG
rnacentral:rRNA from 1 species